rnacentral:pre_miRNA from 1 species
AAUAAAUACAGCCAUGAGUUUUCACACCUAACUUUAACCAUCCGUUUUAUUUGAAUUUUUUUAUAAUUAACAUUUUUGUUGUUAUGAAAUGAUAAAAUAUAAAUAGUACUUUGCUCGUGACUUAUGUUUUAAAUUUUUUUAAGAAAAAUUUAAAUAAGACGAACGAUCAAAAUUGAACGUGAAAAAUUAUGGCUGUAUUUAUU